rnacentral:lncRNA from 1 species
GCUACCCAAUGGGUGGCCCAGAUGUUCAACACGGGACACUUACUUUUAUGUGUAAACAGGUCUCAAACAAAGCUCGGACUAAUGCUUCAUAUUCUUCUUGGACUUCUUUUCUAAUCUGCUUCUUGAGAUUCAGAUUCACUUCUUCCAAGUCUAAAAGAAAAAUGGAAACGACCUAAAAUGCCUAACAAUGGAAAUGAGUUGAAUCCAUCUGGCUCAUAGACAUGACGAAAUACUGAAUGGCCACCAUAAAUGGACAUAUGUUUAUUGAUGAGGAAAGAUCUUUAUAACAUAUUGUCAAGUGAACAAAAAAGCAUGCUAUAAAAAAAGGUCAUGCAGAAUAAUCUUAUUUUGUAAAAAAAAAAAAAGUGUGUAUUAGUCC